rnacentral:rRNA from 1 species
ACGCUCGACACCUACGGGAGCAGCAGUGGGGAAUAUUGCACAAUGGGGGAAACCCUGAUGCAGCGACGCCGCGUGAAGGAAGAAGUAUUUCGGUAUGUAAACUUCUAUCAGCAGGGAAGAAGAUGACGGUACCUGACUAAGAAGCCCCGGCUAACUACGUGCCAGCAGCCGCGGUAAUCUGAGCGGGCUGGCAAGGC